AAUGAACGCUGGCGGCGUGCCUAACACAUGCAAGUCGAACGAGAAAUUCCGGGCUUGCUCGGAAAAGUAAAGUGGCGCACGGGUGAGUAACACGUGGGUAACCUGCCCUUGAAUUUGGGGAUAACUUCGCGAAAGCGAUGCUAAUACCGAAUAUUAUAGCAUUUAACCCCGGUUUUUGUUAUGAAAGGUGACCUCUUCAUGAAAGUUGCCGUUUAAGGAUGGGCUCGCGUACCAUUAGCUAGUUGGUAGGGUAAUGGCCUACAAAGGCGACGAUGGUUAGCUGGUCUGAGAGGAUGACCAGCCACACUGGAACUGAAACACGGUCCAGACUCCUACGGGAGGCAG
rnacentral:rRNA from 1 species